rnacentral:lncRNA from 1 species
CCUGAUGCUGUGAGAAAAUCCCACGACUGACUGCUGCUCAUCCUCCUCCGCUUGAAGUCUGUGAUUUAUCAGCAAUGAAACGGGAAAGAAAAGGGAAGUCUGCCAGGUGAUUUAGCUUGUUGCAGUAUUUUCUUCUCCUUCAGUAUAAAUAUUUAUUUUAAUAGUGAAACCCUACCCGUGUGGCAGACCGGCACAUUUCACUGUCUCGGAUCUCCCGAGCAUGGUUCUGGGUCCCCUUCGAGCAGCAGCAAUCUCUUGCUUUUCCUCUCGCUCUUGCUAAUUGUGACUAGAAGAUACCGAAUUAAAAGCCGCUGGAGGUGAGGGGAAACACCUCUCCUGCAGCCGCAGCCUUCUCCGGAUGAGGCUUCCUUACUCGCCUACAAGACAAUAGCCGAAGAAAUUAAGGAGAGGGGGGGAAAAUGACUGAUCCUACUGUAUGAGAUAAUGGAUGAGCCCGGGAUGACCUGUUUUUUUCCUUGCGGUGGAGCGGAGCUGAAGACAGAGGGCACCAGCGCCCAGCCCACAGCCCUCGCCCCGCUGCCAGCGCGCCAGCUCGGGGCGGCCGGAGAGCCGCCGGUGCCCGCUGCUCCUGGCGGGCACGGAGCCACCGCCUUGCCUCGCCAGCAGGUUAAAAGUCAGUAGGAUGACGGCUGCCUUGGCACCUUCGAGAGUGAUGCUGUAAGACUUCGCUGUAAUGUUAUUUGGAGCAACUUGGGCGCUGGUGGGGGGAAGCGCAUGCCAU